CGCGGGAGGGAAGAGGGAAGGAGGGGAGCCCUGCGCUACGGCCUGUCCGCGGAGUGAGCCCGGCAAAGUUGUCUCGGUUCGAGCGUCGGCUCCCGAGGCCUGCUUCGCCCAACAGUCCGGUUCAGGAAGAUAGUCCAAGAGAGAGCCCCGACGGAUGGGGGGAGAGAGCCGCAACGGAGGAGGAGGUCGAGCGUCCGCGGGGCCACAGCCUCGGUUCCCCCACCCCCCGCACCGGAGUGGCUUCAGAAGCAGCGGCUGCCGCUGGAACCUCCCGGGUCCGGGGCUGAGUCGCGUUUGAGGAAAAGAAACAAGAACAAACAACUUAAAAUGGCAGCGACGGCUGCUGCGUCACCCGCCCCUCCGCGGCACCGCCCCGAGCGCUCUACGCCUGCGCGCGCCCCGGACGCUACCAUCUGUGGCAAAAACUGAAGGGGGAGGCGGGAAAAGAAGCGUGAAGGUUUUCACAGUUAUGGAGACAGAAAAACCGAAAAGCUAGUAAUGUGUGACAUAUAAAAGUCGGUAUAAAUAGUGAGUAGCUUUGAAAUUAGGCUUUCAGUAAGAUACUUCUUUUCCUAGGGGUGUUUGAGAACACACAUUUCCCCUAUUUAUCAAUAUGGAAAGUCCUAAGGCGUGGCAAGGGUCUCCCGCCACUCCCUCCGCCCCUCUGUCCCUCCGUCAGGCUGUCCAGGUCUCCCCCGCCCCGUCCUUUUACGUCAUAAGAGCACGCCCCCUACGCCCUCCAUGACGAAGCGGAGAGAGUAGCUCCACCCUGGGCUAUGCUGGGGAGCGGUAGUUGGACUUAGGGGGUGGGGUAGGGUGGGGGUCCUGUUAAAGCAGCGGUUCUCAACCUGUGGGUCGCACCCCAUACGGGAGAAUCCAAUGAUCCUUUUAUAGAGGUUGCCUAAGACCAUCGGAAAACAUUAACAUUCAUAACAGCAGCAACAUUACGAAGUCGGCCAGUUGGCAACAACGGAGAAAUCAUUUCGAGUUAGCGGAAUGAAGCUUGCUUGCACCCCAACGAGUAUAGCCUCAGUCCAUGCGCCUCUAUCCUCACCCCUCUUCCUGCACCACCAAGGCGAACGGACCUCGGGCUUUAAGCGACAGAAGCCCUUGUAUGCGUUGUUGCUAGGAUCGGAAGAGGCAGCCGAACUCUACGUGUGAUUCCUCCACCACAGUGAACAGGGAUCCCCGAGAACCUCAGACCUACGUCCCAUCUUCUCCUGACUCUCUAUCCUCAACGGUAAAUGGGACACUGGAACGUUUACUGCUGAAUCACGCCGUCCUUGACCCCAAAGAGCGCUCAUUCGGUUUGUGAGACUCUGGUGUGAUAAAAACGAAGUUACAUAAUUAAUCAGCGAAGGUUGAUACUCCACAUGAACAAAGCCUGGGUGCUGCAUUCCUGACUACUCGGUCGAAACUUUUAAAAGUCCAGUCUCCUAAAUAGCUGCUUUUCACUUCGUGAAAUCAAAAUCUAUUAGCUGCAAUCACCCUUUAUCCAUAAGCCAAAGAAAAUAAAUAAAAUCCUAUUUUUAUGUUUGCCUGCAUGCAUACUUGUGCCCAGACACCAGAAGAAGGUAUCGGAUCCCCUAGAACUGGAGUUCAAGAUGUACUAGGGCCCAUUCUUCAAUGUAAGUUCUCCAGAACCAAGGUUGGCAUUCCUGAUCGUUCCAAAUUAGUUCCAACAUGAGUCAGCCAUAGUGGCUGUAAUCCGAGCACUCAGGAGGCUGAAGCAGGUUUGUUGUGACUUCGAAGUCAUUCUCCUUCAAGGCCAACCUGGAAUACCACAGAAACCCUGUCUCCCCUCCACCACCACCUCCACAAAAUAAAUAUAAAUAAAACCAGU
rnacentral:lncRNA from 1 species